GGCCAUUUCAAAAAUUCAUGGUUA
rnacentral:siRNA from 1 species